AUGGAAGGGGGCCGGGUGGAGACGCCUGGGGACCUCGGUAGCAGAAGACAGUCCUCAGAAAGCUGCGACGCCAAGAGACUCAACACUCCAGAGAAAAGACUCAGGGCAAGGUUGGCCUCAGCUCAUAAGACCUUUGCAAAUUUUUUUGAGUCAAGAGUUUUAGAAAAAGAGAACACUGGUGAAUGUUCUUCAUGCCCUUCCAAGGACCAGAAGGAAAAGAGCAGGUUGCGCCAGACUUCCUGGCGCACUUUCCUGAAAAGCAAAGAUGCCCAAGGCUCCAAAAGGUCCUCCUUAGUAAGUCUGAUUCCAGGACCAGAAAUCUUGAAUACUCCCAGCCGUUUCCCACCAGAGACCAAUAGCCACUGUGAGAACACAGUGGUGGAACACAAGGAGAGCUAUGUUUUUAGAGAUCACUGGACACCCACACAUUGCCCCAUACCUUUGUCAUCCAGCAAUUUGGCUUCUUCAGAUAACAGGAGAAAAAGUGAACCAACUAUCAAAUGUACAAGCACCCAGGAAAGUGGUGAAUACAUACCUCCGAGUACCUUUCCUGAAAAGUCUUGGCCUUUGUCACCCACCAGUCCUGGGAGGCAGCAGGCUGGGAUCAGCCGCACCCUUCCCUCAAGCUCCACCUGUUGCCUGGCACAUGGAAGCCAAAGUGUGCCCUGUAAGCCCCUGAGCCCCAAGCCCCAGAGUCUCAGGCCUGGUGCCCAGCGCACAGAUUUCCACUACCCUGAAAAGGGUAGGGCCAUCUCAGUGGUUUCUCUUGGAAGCUACAGCCAUGUGGACACCAGCUCAGAGGCCCCUGGAAACCCCAAGAUGUCCCAGGCCUGGAUAAGCCUCCUGCUUUCUCUGCAGGCAUUAGACCAGGGCGAGCAGAAGGAAGAGAGCAGGAAAAGAAGCCAGCAUCCCUGUGGCAUAAGCACAGCACCCUCACUGAAGAACCUUCUUGGGAGUGAGAAUCACAUGCUGUGGGAAGAACAACCAGGCAGAAAGCCCAGUUGCUUCCAAGGUCUGAAAACUUUUCACACUGAGCCAGCUCCGGGGCCAUUCUCUACAGCUGAGGUGGGGACAUGGAUUCUUCCCUUCAUUUCUGCAGAAGACAUCCCCCGGGAGACUCCUUCACAACCCAGGAGUAUCCCUCAGCACUCACACAUCAGUUUAGAUGACCUGUGGCUGGAGAAGACGCAGAGGAGGAAGUUGAAGAAGCAGGCCCAGUUUGAAAGGAAGACUCAUGCACACAAAGAUGGAGUGCAAUGUUGGAGGAAGAUGAUCAUUACCUCUCCAGAGUCUUUGAAUCUCCCUGGAAGAAGCCAUCCAUUCUCGCAGAGUGCCCCGACAGGAUUGAACCACAUGGGCUGGCCAGAGUCCACACCUGACAUUGCCCUCCCUGAUGGAGCUCUGGACACAGCCCUCCGUGGAGAUGAGGCGGGCAGUGAGGAGGACCUGUAUGAGGAUGUGCACAGCUCCAGCCACCACUACAGCCACACUGGAGGGGGCGGCGAGCAGUUGGCCAUCAACGAGCUCAUCAGCGAUGGCAGUGUGGUCUGUGCCGAAGCGCUCUGGGACCAUGUCACCAUGGAUGACCAGGAACUGGGCUUCAAAGCUGGAGAUGUCAUCGAAGUGAUGGACGCCACCAACAGAGAGUGGUGGUGGGGCCGCGUCGCUGACGGCGAGGGCUGGUUUCCAGCGAACUUUGUGCGGCUGCGGGUGAACCAGGACGAGCCUGCAGACGAUGAGGCGCUGGGGCCUGGGCAUGGAGGGGCUGGGGACGGCGGGGGCACCGAGGCACAGGGCAGCAGGGACCAGAUGCGGACCAAUGUCAUCAACGAGAUCCUCAGCACGGAGCGAGACUACAUCAAGCACCUGCGAGACAUCUGCGAGGGGUACCUCAGGCAGUGCCGCAAGCGGGCAGACAUGUUCAGCGAGGAGCAGCUGCGCACCAUCUUCGGGAACAUCGAGGACAUAUACAGGUGCCAGAAGGCCUUUGUGAAGGCGCUGGAGCAGAAGUUCAACCGGGAGCGGCCGCACCUGAGCGAGCUGGGUGCCUGCUUCCUGGAGCACCAAGCAGACUUCCAGAUCUACUCAGAGUACUGCAACAACCACCCCAAUGCCUGCGUGGAGCUCUCACGCCUCGCCAAGCUCAGCAAGUACGUGUACUUCUUCGAGGCCUGCCGGCUGCUGCAGAAGAUGAUUGACAUCUCCCUGGAUGGCUUCCUGCUGACGCCUGUGCAGAAGAUCUGCAAGUACCCUCUGCAACUGGCAGAGCUGCUCAAGUACACACACCCCCAGCACAGGGAUUUCAAGGACGUGGAAGCUGCCUUACAUGCCAUGAAGAAUGUGGCCCAGCUCAUCAAUGAACGGAAACGGAGACUUGAAAACAUCGACAAGAUUGCUCAGUGGCAAAGCUCUAUAGAGGACUGGGAGGGGGAAGAUCUCCUGGUCAGGAGCUCGGAACUCAUCCACUCGGGGGAGCUGACCCGUGUCACACAGCCACAAGCCAAGAGCCAGCAGAGAAUGUUUUUUCUCUUUGACCACCAGCUCAUCUACUGUAAGAAGGACCUUCUCCGCCGGGAUGUGCUCUACUAUAAGGGCCGAGUGGACAUGGACAGCCUGCAGGUGGUGGACUUGGAGGACGGGAAGGACAGAGAGCUCCAUGUGAGCGUCAGGAACGCCUUCCGGCUGCGCUGUGGCCCCUCGGGCGAGAGCCACCUGCUGUGUGCCAAGAAGCCCGAGCAGAAGCAGCGCUGGCUCAAGGCCUUUGCCAGGGAGCGGGAGCAGGUGCGGCUGGACCAGGAGACAGGCUUCUCCAUUACCCAGCUGCAGAGGAAGCAGGCCAUGCUGAACGCCAGCAAGCAGCAGGCCAUUGGGAAGCCCAGAGCCCUCGGCCGACCCUACUACCUGGCACGUCAGAAGCAUCCGACCCUCCCCACCAGCCUGCCUCAGCAACAGGUCCUGGUGCUGGCAGAGCCCAAGCGAAAGCCAUCCACCUUCUGGCACAGCAUCAGCCGGCUGGCACCCUUCCGCAAGUGAGCCCGUGCCCCACUAGUGGCACCAUCUGGACCUGCCUUGCCGGUGGGCCUCCAGCUCUUCCUAUCCGAGGCUCACCACAUCCGGCCCUCUGUCUGUUCUGCAAACUGCAAGUUAGCAGGGCUGAGUGUGGGAUCCGCUCAGUGCCCGCAUUCUCAGUUUCCUCCCCAGUGCUGGGGUGCUGAAGAAGUUGGCUGGAGAGGCAGGCCCCCGGCACGUGAACCUCCCACACCCUCCAAGCCUGUGCCGGGCUUCCUGGGAGCCACAGCUCAGAACCACCCAACAGGCCAGCGUGUGUGAGAAUGGCUGCUCUGGACCCUCUUCUUUGCACAUCUAAUCAUCCUUCCUGCUCCUGUUUCCUCUGGGCAGGAGACCGCCUCUGCCUUCAGUCACCUGCAGAGCCAGGCUGUGUACCUCUCUGCCCUCCUGCCCUCUUCACAGGCCCCCAGCUGGUGGGCCAGGCAACCUGCACCCCUGGUGGGCAGGAACCAAGAAUUCUGGGCACAGAAACAUCUGGCCUGGAGCCCACCUGUUACUUCCUCCCAGUCACUCUGUAGACACUCCCAGCUGCUGGACAUCCUCUCUUCCCUUGUGAUGUGUUUGUUUAUAGUGGAAAGAAAACAGAACCAUAGUCAACUGAAAACUUCUGUCAGGAUUUGUAACCAGUCCACCUGCAGCUGUGGGAUGAUUCUAUAACCUGGUUCCAGUUUGGAUUUUGUUGUUAAAUUCCAACAAUAGAGAAUUGUUAGUGACACAGAAAGAUUGCCUUACCCUGAGUGAGUGUGAGAAGCCAUAAGGACUGAAUUCUGUGGCCCAGCACCCAGGACUGACCCACCCAGAAGCUGGUGGGCACGUAGGUUGGAAGGAAGCCUACAUCCCAUGGAGGAGGGGCACCGAAGAGGGUGGCCAGGGCCUGGCAUGGGGCAGAGCACAGAGCCGCCCCUGUGGCCCGUGGGAAUUCAGCAGCAUGUACAGUCACUCUUGCACUAUACCUUCUCCAAGCAGAAACCACAUUUAAUUUCAUAAAGAAACCUGUGAAAAAUAACCUGGCUGCCAGCCCUUGUUUUCUAUUGUCUAUCCAUUUUCUCCUCCCCUCCUAUUACCUUUCCACCUCAAGCCUUUCUUUAGACUAAAGGAAUAAGCCAGGCCGCCAAGGCUUUGGUGGAGAGCAGCUCAGUGUUCAGAGGCUCAGGGAAACUAGGAGCUGUCUCAGCACCUCUGUCCCCAGCUGCUUCUAGGGUCUCUGUUGAGCUGAACUUAUCAGAAAUGUGAGUUUGGGGGACAGGCAGUGCUAAUGUUUUGGGGUCUGAGCUUCCCCUUUGGUGAAAUGGGGAAGGAUGUGUUUUCUUUCCAGGAGGACUGAGCCGACAGGACCAGGAGAGGGUGGCUUCCCUCCCCUUCCCCACAACCCGCCGCCUUCACACUUGUACACACUGCCACGGCCACAGGGGCUGAGCCGGAACCCCCUGGAUUUUCUAAGGUGAGACACACUACACCACCUCCCAUCCAGGCCAAGCCACCUGGAGGCAAAACCUAUAGGGAAAAGGCAUGAAAAUCGUAAUAUGCAACACAAGUCAAUCUUUAUUGAAAACUGCAGUAUUAAUACAUAACAAUUUACAAUAAACGUGCUUUUAAGAAUUUUAAAUCUGAGUUC
rnacentral:lncRNA from 1 species